CGGACGGGUGAGUAACACGUAGGUAACCUGCCCAGAAGCGGGGGACAACAUUUGGAAACAGAUGCUAAUACCGCAUAACAACGUUGUUCGCAUGAACAACGCUUAAAAGAUGGCUUCUCGCUAUCACUUCUGGAUGGACCUGCGGUGCAUUAGCUUGUUGGUGGGGUAACGGCCUACCAAGGCGAUGAUGCAUAGCCGAGUUGAGAGACUGAUCGGCCACAAUGGGACUGAGACACGGCCCAUACUCCUACGGGAGGCAGCAGUAGGGAAUCUUCCACAAUGGGCGCAAGCCUGAUGGAGCAACACCGCGUGAGUGAAGAAGGGUUUCGGCUCGUAAAGCUCUGUUGUUAAAGAAGAACACGUAUGAGAGUAACUGUUCAUACGUUGACGGUAUUUAACCAGAAAGUCACGGCUAACUACGUGCCAGCAGCCGCGGUAAUACGUAGGUGGCAAGCGUUAUCCGGAUUUAUUGGGCGUAAAGAGAGUGCAGGCGGUUUUCUAAGUCUGAUGUGAAAGCCUUCGGCUUAACCGGAGAAGUGCAUCGGAAACUGGAUAACUUGAGUGCAGAAGAGGGUAGUGGAACUCCAUGUGUAGCGGUGGAAUGCGUAGAUAUAUGGAAGAACACCAGUGGCGAAGGCGGCUACCUGGUCUGCAACUGACGCUGAGACUCGAAAGCAUGGGUAGCGAACAGGAUUAGAUACCCUGGUAGUCCAUGCCGUAAACGAUGAGUGCUAG
rnacentral:rRNA from 2 species